AGUCACCUGGAGUACAGGCCAGCUGAAAAUGUUCUUGAGCCGAUAUCUGUUACUCCGGAGGCUCUUCGCAAUGAUGUUGUUGAGCAUGUCCGCACGACGGAAAGCCUGAUACAUCGCUGGAGCCACCACCUGAACCUGUGGGUUCAGGACUAUUUCGGCAGCGGUACUCUGGGUGGCUU
rfam:Pseudohongiella acticola strain KCTC 42131 KCTC42131_S1, whole genome shotgun sequence.